GGUUAAGCGACUAAGCGUACACGGUGGAUGCCCUGGCAGUCAGAGGCGAUGAAGGACGUGCUAAUCUGCGAUAAGCGUCGGUAAGGUGAUAUGAACCGUUAUAACCGGCGAUUUCCGAAUGGGGAAACCCAGUGUGUUUCGACACACUAUCAUUAACUGAAUCCAUAGGUUAAUGAGGCGAACCGGGGGAACUGAAACAUCUAAGUACCCCGAGGAAAAGAAAUCAACCGAGAUUCCCCCAGUAGCGGCGAGCGAACGGGGAGCAGCCCAGAGCCUGAAUCAGUGUGUGUGUUAGUGGAAGCGUCUGGAAAGGCGCGCGAUACAGGGUGACAGCCCCGUACACAAAAAUGCACAUGCUGUGAGCUCGAUGAGUAGGGCGGGACACGUGGUAUCCUGUCUGAAUAUGGGGGGACCAUCCUCCAAGGCUAAAUACUCCUGACUGACCGAUAGUGAACCAGUACCGUGAGGGAAAGGCGAAAAGAACCCCGGCGAGGGGAGUGAAAAAGAACCUGAAACCGUGUACGUACAAGCAGUGGGAGCACGCUUAGGCGUGUGACUGCGUACCUUUUGUAUAAUGGGUCAGCGACUUAUAUUCUGUAGCAAGGUUAACCGAAUAGGGGAGCCGAAGGGAAACCGAGUCUUAACUGGGCGUUAAGUUGCAGGGUAUAGACCCGAAACCCGGUGAUCUAGCCAUGGGCAGGUUGAAGGUUGGGUAACACUAACUGGAGGACCGAACCGACUAAUGUUGAAAAAUUAGCGGAUGACUUGUGGCUGGGGGUGAAAGGCCAAUCAAACCGGGAGAUAGCUGGUUCUCCCCGAAAGCUAUUUAGGUAGCGCCUCGUGAAUUCAUCUCCGGGGGUAGAGCACUGUUUCGGCAAGGGGGUCAUCCCGACUUACCAACCCGAUGCAAACUGCGAAUACCGGAGAAUGUUAUCACGGGAGACACACGGCGGGUGCUAACGUCCGUCGUGAAGAGGGAAACAACCCAGACCGCCAGCUAAGGUCCCAAAGUCAUGGUUAAGUGGGAAACGAUGUGGGAAGGCCCAGACAGCCAGGAUGUUGGCUUAGAAGCAGCCAUCAUUUAAAGAAAGCGUAAUAGCUCACUGGUCGAGUCGGCCUGCGCGGAAGAUGUAACGGGGCUAAACCAUGCACCGAAGCUGCGGCAGCGACGCUUAUGCGUUGUUGGGUAGGGGAGCGUUCUGUAAGCCUGUGAAGGUGUGCUGUGAGGCAUGCUGGAGGUAUCAGAAGUGCGAAUGCUGACAUAAGUAACGAUAAAGCGGGUGAAAAGCCCGCUCGCCGGAAGACCAAGGGUUCCUGUCCAACGUUAAUCGGGGCAGGGUGAGUCGACCCCUAAGGCGAGGCCGAAAGGCGUAGUCGAUGGGAAACAGGUUAAUAUUCCUGUACUUGGUGUUACUGCGAAGGGGGGACGGAGAAGGCUAUGUUGGCCGGGCGACGGUUGUCCCGGUUUAAGCGUGUAGGCUGGUUUUCCAGGCAAAUCCGGAAAAUCAAGGCUGAGGCGUGAUGACGAGGCACUACGGUGCUGAAGCAACAAAUGCCCUGCUUCCAGGAAAAGCCUCUAAGCAUCAGGUAACAUCAAAUCGUACCCCAAACCGACACAGGUGGUCAGGUAGAGAAUACCAAGGCGCUUGAGAGAACUCGGGUGAAGGAACUAGGCAAAAUGGUGCCGUAACUUCGGGAGAAGGCACGCUGAUAUGUAGGUGAAGCGACUUGCUCGUGGAGCUGAAAUCAGUCGAAGAUACCAGCUGGCUGCAACUGUUUAUUAAAAACACAGCACUGUGCAAACACGAAAGUGGACGUAUACGGUGUGACGCCUGCCCGGUGUCGGAAGGUUAAUUGAUGGGGUCAGCGCAAGCGAAGCUCUUGAUCGAAGCCCCGGUAAACGGCGGCCGUAACUAUAACGGUCCUAAGGUAGCGAAAUUCCUUGUCGGGUAAGUUCCGACCUGCACGAAUGGCGUAAUGAUGGCCAGGCUGUCUCCACCCGAGACUCAGUGAAAUUGAACUCGCUGUGAAGAUGCAGUGUACCCGCGGCAAGACGGAAAGACCCCGUGAACCUUUACUAUAGCUUGACACUGAACAUUGAGCCUUGAUGUGUAGGAUAGGUGGGAGGCUUUGAAGUGUGGACGCCAGUCUGCAUGGAGCCGACCUUGAAAUACCACCCUUUAAUGUUUGAUGUUCUAACGUUGACCCGUGAUCCGGGUUGCGGACAGUGUCUGGUGGGUAGUUUGACUGGGGCGGUCUCCUCCUAAAGAGUAACGGAGGAGCACGAAGGUUGGCUAAUCCUGGUCGGACAUCAGGAGGUUAGUGCAAUGGCAUAAGCCAGCUUGACUGCGAGCGUGACGGCGCGAGCAGGUGCGAAAGCAGGUCAUAGUGAUCCGGUGGUUCUGAAUGGAAGGGCCAUCGCUCAACGGAUAAAAGGUACUCCGGGGAUAACAGGCUGAUACCGCCCAAGAGUUCAUAUCGACGGCGGUGUUUGGCACCUCGAUGUCGGCUCAUCACAUCCUGGGGCUGAAGUAGGUCCCAAGGGUAUGGCUGUUCGCCAUUUAAAGUGGUACGCGAGCUGGGUUUAGAACGUCGUGAGACAGUUCGGUCCCUAUCUGCCGUGGGCGCUGGAGAACUGAGGGGGGCUGCUCCUAGUACGAGAGGACCGGAGUGGACGCAUCACUGGUGUUCGGGUUGUCAUGCCAAUGGCACUGCCCGGUAGCUAAAUGCGGAAGAGAUAAGUGCUGAAAGCAUCUAAGCACGAAACUUGCCCCGAGAUGAGUUCUCCCUGACUCCUUGAGAGUCCUGAAGGAACGUUGAAGACGACGACGUUGAUAGGCCGGGUGUGUAAGCGCAGCGAUGCGUUGAGCUAACCGGUACUAAUGAACCGUGAGGCUUAACCUU
rnacentral:rRNA from 1 species